rnacentral:rRNA from 1 species
AUUGAACGCUGGCGGCAUGCCUUACACAUGCAAGUCGAGCGGCAGCGCGGGGGCAACCCUGGCGGCGAGCGGCGGACGGGUGAGUAAUGCAUCGGAACGUGUCCUCUUGUGGGGGAUAACCAGUCGAAAGACUGGCUAAUACCGCAUGAGCUCGUAAGAGGAAAGCAGGGGACCCGCAAGGGCCUUGCGCGAGAGGAGCGGCCGAUGCCCGAUUAGCAGUUGGCGGGGUAAAAGCCCACCAAGGCGACGAUCGGUAGCUGGUCUGAGAGGACGACCAGCCACACUGGGACUGAGACACGGCCCAGACUCCUACGGGAGGCAGCAGUGGGGAAUUUUGGGCAAUGGGGGAAACCCUGAUCCAGCCAUGCCGCGUGUGUGAAGAAGGCCUGG